CGGUCGUCUGCUGGUGUCGUGAGAUGUUGGGAUAAGUCCCGUAGCGAGCGCAACCCUUGUCCUUUGUUACCAGCACGUUAUGGUGGGCACUCUAAGGAGACUGCCGGUGACAAACCGGAGGAAGGUGGGGAUGACGUCAAGUCAUCAUGGCCCUUACGGCCUGGGCUACACACGUGCUACAAUGGUCGGUACAGAGGGUUGCCAAGCCGCGAGGUGGAGCUAAUCUCACAAAACCGAUCGUAGUCCGGAUCGCAGUCUGCAACUCGACUGCGUGAAGUCGGAAUCGCUAGUAAUCGCGAAUCAGAAUGUCGCGGUGAAUACGUUCCCGGGCCUUGUACACACCGCCCGUCACACCAUGGGAGUGGGUUGCACCAGAAGUAGCUAGUCUAACCUUCGGGAGGACGGUUACCACGGUGUGAUUCAUGACUGGGGUGAAGUUCGUAACAAGAGCAGGCC
rnacentral:rRNA from 1 species